UAGGCAGAAGCCUGAGGGUUGGGGCAUAUAGCUGUUAACUAUACUUUCAUGGGAUCGAAGCCCAUCUGCCUAG
rnacentral:tRNA from 1 species